rnacentral:rRNA from 2 species
AUACCGGCAGCUCGAGUGAUGACCGCUGUUAUUGGGCCUAAAGCGUCCGUAGCUGGCCAUGCAAGUCCGUUGGGAAAUCCACUAGCUCAACUAGUGGGCGUCCGGCGGAAACUGCAUGGCUUGGGACCGGAAGGCUCGAGGGGUACGUCCGGGGUAGGAGUGAAAUCCCGUAAUCCUGGACGGACCACCGAUGGCGAAAGCACCCCGAGAAGACGGAUCCGACAGUGAGCGACGAAAGCUGGGGUCUCGAACCGGAUUAGAUACCCGGGUAGUCCCAGCCGUAAACGAUGCCAGUUAGGUGUGGCGCAGGCUACGAGCCUGCGCUGUGCCGUAGGGAAGCCGAGAAACUGGCCGCCUGGGAAGUACGUCCGCAAGGAUGAA